GACGAACGCUGGCGGCGUGCUUAACACAUGCAAGUCGAACGAAGUGGCGAACGGGUGAGUAACGCGUAAUCAACCUGCCCUUCAGCGGGGGACAACAGUUGGAAACGACUGCUAAUACCGCAUACUGAAGGAGGGGCUUGCGUCUGAUUCGCUAGUUGGAGGGGUAACGGCCCACCAAGGCGAUGAUCAGUCGCCGGUCUGAGAGGAUGAACGGAGACAGUGGGACUGGGAGACGGCCCAGAAUCCUACGGGGGGCAGCAGUGGGGAAUCUUCCGCAAUGGACGAAAGUCUGACGGAGCAACGCCGCGUGAGUGAUGACGGCCUUCGGGUUGUAAAGCUCUGUUAAUCGGGACGCGGUACCGGAAGAGAAAGCCACGGCUAACUACGUGCCAGCAGCCGCGGUAAUUC
rnacentral:rRNA from 1 species